ACAAGCGCCUUGAUCCCAAUUAUGUACUUUGGACGUUUCAAAGAUGUCUUCCAGCAGACAUCAUAAGUGUGUAAAUAAACAAAAACAAUGUGAAUGUGUACAUUGGUCACGUCUAAGUUGAUUUGUGCUAUUAUUUUUUGGAAUUAAAUUUAAUUUUUUUACCGUUUCCGCGGUGUCUGAGGAUGCAGUCGAUUUGAUUCAUACCGAAUAAUUGAGCCUAAAGGGCGCUGCUUUCUUAGUUUCCGCUAUAGCUCCUCAUAGUUUUGUUCCGGGAUGCUUUGAGGGAGUUUUCGUUAAUGGCAGUUCAGCAGCUACAGCAGCUCCACAGACGACUGGGAUGAUGCAAACAUUAUGGAUCCACAGGCAGAAAGGCAGUUUAACCACAGUUGCAACCGUCGUUCUGAAAUAUUCAUCGAAUUGUAUGAAGACGAUUAUACGAAUGAUGUCAACGACCCAGACUGGUAAUACAACAAAUUAAAUAAUUUAACAAUCUAUGAAUAUUUUGAAGAAUUCAAAAUAAAUGCUGACACGGAUGCGGAAAAUGCAGAAACAGAGCAGGAUUACGAAGAUAAUGACGAAGAAUCUUAGCAUUACAACGAUUACGAAUAUUGGGUGAUAGACCCAAGAACAGAUGGAGAAUCUCAGCCGAAAACAAUGAAAUCACAGCAGGAAUACGAAGAUGUAGACGACGGAUUUAAGCAUGAUAAUGAAGACGAAGAUGAAGAAACAUAGUUAGAAGAAGAAGAUGGAGAACCUCAGUAA